AGAGUUUGAUCCUGGCUCAGAUUGAACGCUGGCGGCAGGCCUAACACAUGCAAGUCGAGCGGAAACGAGUUAUCUGAACCUUCGGGGAACGAUAACGGCGUCGAGCGGCGGACGGGUGAGUAAUGCCUAGGAAAUUGCCCUGAUGUGGGGGAUAACCAUUGGAAACGAUGGCUAAUACCGCAUAAUGCCUACGGGCCAAAGAGGGGGACCUUCGGGCCUCUCGCGUCAGGAUAUGCCUAGGUGGGAUUAGCUAGUUGGUGAGGUAAUGGCUCACCAAGGCGACGAUCCCUAGCUGGUCUGAGAGGAUGAUCAGCCACACUGGAACUGAGGCACGGUCCAGACUCCUACGGGAGGCAGCAGUGGGGAAUAUUGCACAAUGGGCGCAAGCCUGAUGCGGCCAUGCCGCGUGUGUGAAGAAGGCCUUCGGGUUGUAAAGCACUUUCAGUAAGGAGGAAAGGUUAGUAGUUAAUACCUGCUAGCUGUGACGUUACUUACAGAAGAAGCACCGGCUAACUCCGUGCCAGCAGCCGCGGUAAUACGGAGGGUGCGAGCGUUAAUCGGAAUUACUGGGCGUAAAGCGUACGCAGGCGGUUUGUUAAGCGAGAUGUGAAAGCCCCGGGCUCAACCUGGGAACUGCAUUUCGAACUGGCAAACUAGAGUGUGAUAGAGGGUGGUAGAAUUUCAGGUGUAGCGGUGAAAUGCGUAGAGAUCUGAAGGAAUACCGGUGGCGAAGGCGGCCCCCUGGACAGAUACUGACACUCAGAUGCGAAAGCGUGGGGAGCAAACAGGAUUAGAUACCCUGGUAGUCCACGCCGUAAACGAUGUCUACUUGGAGGUUGUGGCCUUGAGCCGUGGCUUUCGGAGCUAACGCGUUAAGUAGACCGCCUGGGGAGUACGGUCGCAAGAUUAAAACUCAAAUGAAUUGACGGGGGCCCGCACAAGCGGUGGAGCAUGUGGUUUAAUUCGAUGCAACGCGAAGAACCUUACCUACUCUUGACAUCCAGAGAACUUUCCAGAGAUGGAUUGGUGCCUUCGGGAACUCUGAAACAGGUGCUGCAUGGCUGUCCUCAACUCGGGUUGUGAAAAGUUGGGGUUAAGUCCCGCAACGAGCGGCAACCCUUAUCCUUGUUUGCCAGCCCU
rnacentral:rRNA from 1 species